rnacentral:rRNA from 1 species
UACGUAGGGUGCGAGCGUUUAAUCGGAAUUACUGGGCGUAAAGCGUGCGCAGGCGGUUCGUUAUGUCCGAUGUGAAAGCCCCGAGCUCAACUUGGGAAUGGCAUUGGAAACUGGCGGGCUGGAGUGUGGCAGAGGGGGGUGGAAUUCCACGUGUAGCAGUGAAAUGCGUAGAGAUGUGGAGGAACACCGAGUGGCGAAGGCAGCCUCCUGGCCAACACUGACGCUCAGUGCACGAAA